UUAAGUUAAUAAGGGCGCACGGUGGAUGCCUUGGCACUAGAAGCCGAUGAAGGACGUGACUAACGACGAAAUGCUUUGGGGAGCUGUAAGUGAGCAAUGAUCCAGAGAUGUCCGAAUGGGGGAACCCGGCAGGUAAUGCCUGUCACUCAUUACUGUUAAGGUAAUGUAGAGGAAGACGCAGUGAACUGAAACAUCUAAGUAGCUGCAGGAAGAGAAAGCAAAAGCGAUUGCCUUAGUAGCGGCGAGCGAAACGGCAAGAGGGCAAACCGAAGAGUUUACUCUUCGGGGUUGUAGGACUGCAACGUGGACUUAAAGAUUAUAGAAGAACUACCUGGGAAGGUAGGCCAAAGAGAGUAAUAGCCUCGUAUUCGAAAUAGUCUUUAUACCUAGCAGUAUCCUGAGUACGGCGAGACACGAGAAAUCUCGUCGGAAUCCGGGAGGACCAUCUCCCAACCCUAAAUACUCUCUAGUGACCGAUAGUGAACCAGUACCGUGAGGGAAAGGUGAAAAGCACCCCGGGAGGGGAGUGAAAUAGAACCUGAAACCGUGUGCCUACAACAAGUUCGAGCCCGUUAAUGGGUGAGAGCGUGCCUUUUGUAGAAUGAACCGGCGAGUUACGAUAUGAUGCGAGGUUAAGUUGAAGAGACGGAGCCGUAGGGAAACCGAGUCUUAAUAGGGCGCAUUAGUAUCAUGUCGUAGACCCGAAACCAUGUGACCUACCCAUGAGCAGGUUGAAGGUGAGGUAAAACUCACUGGAGGACCGAACCAGGGCACGUUGAAAAGUGCUUGGAUGACUUGUGGGUAGCGGAGAAAUUCCAAACGAACUUGGAGAUAGCUGGUUCUCUCCGAAAUAGCUUUAGGGCUAGCGUCGAUGUUAAGUCUCUUGGAGGUAGAGCACUGUUUGGGUGAGGGGUCCAUCCCGGAUUACCAAUCUCAGAUAAACUCCGAAUGCCAAUGAGAUAUAAUCGGCAGUCAGACUGCGAGUGCUAAGAUCCGUAGUCGAAAGGGAAACAGCCCAGACCACCAGCUAAGGUCCCAAAAUAUAUGUUAAGUGGAAAAGGAUGUGGGGUUGCACAGACAACUAGGAUGUUAGCUUAGAAGCAGCUAUUCAUUCAAAGAGUGCGUAAUAGCUCACUAGUCGAGUGACCCUGCGCCGAAAAUGUACCGGGGCUAAAACAUAUUACCGAAGCUGUGGAUACCUUUAUAGGUAUGGUAGGAGAGCGUUCUAUGUGCGAAGAAGGUGUACCGUGAGGAGUGCUGGAGCGCAUAGAAGUGAGAAUGCCGGUAUGAGUAGCGAAAGACAGGUGAGAAUCCUGUCCACCGUAAGACUAAGGUUUCCAGGGGAAGGCUCGUCCGCCCUGGGUUAGUCGGGACCUAAGGAGAGACCGAAAGGUGUAUCCGAUGGACAACAGGUUGAUAUUCCUGUACUAGAGUAUAUAGUGAUGGAGGGACGCAGUAGGCUAACUAAACCAGACGAUUGGAAGUGUCUGGCCAAGCAGUGAGGUGUGAUAUGAGUCAAAUGCUUAUAUCUAUAACAUUGAGCUGUGAUGGGGAGCGAAGUUUAGUAGCGAAGUUAGUGAUGUCACACUGCCAAGAAAAGCUUCUAGCGUUAAUUAUACUCUACCCGUACCGCAAACCGACACAGGUAGUCGAGGCGAGUAGCCUCAGGUGAGCGAGAGAACUCUCGUUAAGGAACUCGGCAAAAUGGCCCCGUAACUUCGGGAGAAGGGGCGCUGACUUAUGGUCAGCCGCAGUGAAUAGGCCCAAGCAACUGUUUAUCAAAAACACAGCUCUCUGCUAAAUCGUAAGAUGAUGUAUAGGGGGUGACGCCUGCCCGGUGCUGGAAGGUUAAGAGGAGUGCUUAGCGUAAGCGAAGGCAUGAAUUGAAGCCCCAGUAAACGGCGGCCGUAACUAUAACGGGCCUAAGGUAGCGAAAUUCCUUGUCGGGUAAGUUCCGACCUGCACGAAUGGCGUAA
rnacentral:rRNA from 1 species